GACUGUGCAUUUAUUUUUUUUUUAAUAGGCAUGAUAUAAUUCUGAUAUGAAGAAAAUCAAAGCAGUUUCAUUUGGAGUUGCUUGACAGGUUCUUAUUGUUGAUGAAUUCUCUCUAGAAAAUGGUUUCCUGCUACAUAGAGUUGUUUUUGAAAAAGUUACACCCUUUUUUUGAGGUCAGAUUUCUGAAGUUUCAGACUUAAGCAUUUGUUUUCUAACAACUGUUUGCUGGGUGCUUGCGUUGUCCAAAUGGUAAGUACUUCUCCCAUACUGUUUGUUGGCUCAUCAUUUACUAAAGAGGGAGAGAAGCAGGCAUCAGAGAGAUCUGCAGCUGUCAUCUUACUGGUAGUUCUGAGAGAGGAGGAUGUAAUAGUUCUUUUUACUGUCAAUAACAUGUUUGCUUGUCUUUUAAAAGUGUAAUUCUUAGCAAUAUUGCAUUUAGAGUGUUGACAGUAAAUACCAAAGCAAAAGUCUACCUGAGUGUGCAUAAGUUAGCUGAUUGGGUAAAAAAGUAGGUUCAGGGAAGAUACUCAGCAAAGGAGUCUUUGUUAAAGUGAUAUAGUGCAAUUUGAGCCAAAACUCUUAUUUGAGUAAAUCUGCAGAGAUUUUUCUCUUUCCAAGAUAAAAAAAGUUAAUGCCCUAUAAAAUCCCGAGGCAAGGAUUGUAGGAGGUAAUUUUGUUCUUAAAACUUGACCUAUUAGGGUUUUGUCACCUUUCAUUCACUUUCUUAAGAGGAAUGCGACUAAAUGCCUCUAGCUGUUCUUCGGUAUUACUCAUGCUUUUCAGUGUCACUUGAAUAGUGAGAAUCACCUAAUGAGAUUCUGCUACAGAGCUGAUCUCUGUGUGGGAGCAGAAAUUUCUAUUUAUAGCUAUGUGCUAUGAAAUACUGACUGUUCAUCAGUUACUGAUUAAAGAACGGAGCUGUGAUAGUUUUGAGCUAAGCCAAAGAUGCAAACUUUGUACACAGAAGCAGGAAACACAGGGAAGUGAUUUUCAGUUCUUAACUCCUAAAGAGUGGAGUACUUUUUAACACUAGGUGAGAGGGAUGGGUAUGGAAAUGCACUUAAACUGCUAAUACACAUUUGUCUUUGUUCCAGUAAAUGAGGAACUGUGAACACAAGGCCUGCUUCCCUACAUCGUGUAGACUUCUGCUUUCCAGAAUUGUAGCCUGUCACAGAUACCAGUAGUAAGGACAUAUGAGUAACUCUUCAGGAUAGAGGAUGUGUUUGCAUGAAGAAACCCCAAACCUGCCUUCACGGAAGUUUUUCAAACUCAAAACCUGUUUUUUUUCUGGGUGCAUUUUUGUCAUCAUGCAGCAUAUCCCCUAAGAAAAAAAGUCAGGCCAAAGAUAAGCCCGAGGAGAGUGGUGCAAAACCUAAGCAUGGGCUUAGUAACAGAGGAACCCAAACUGAAAGCAAGAAGUCUCUGGAAGAGACAGAAAGUGGGAAAAAGCCAGAUGAAAACAAGGGACCGUGUGAGAAGGUGAAUGCUUGUAGUGCUGUAGCCUACAAAGCUGACUCCAAACCCCAAGAUCAAGAGAGGACAGUGCAGCAGCAAGUAGUAGAAGGGGCUAGCAAAACACACAGCUCUGAGAACUGUCAACAGCAAAAGGACAUUGGUGUCAAAGCUUUGGAUCAGCACAACGGUCUUCCCUCUGUAAGUCAAGAUUGUGUAGGCAAGCACAAUGUUCCUGCUGAAACAAACGAUACGAAGAGUGCCCCACACCUAGAUGAGUGCCACAGGCAGCUUGUUCAUCAGAAACUUGAGGAGAAUGAAAACAAACCUCCAUCGUUAAGUGCGGCAUCCCAGGAAGCUGUGCCCUCCCCAUCCCGGGCUAUAUCUGACACAGGGCGUGAAGUGACGCAUACCAGGAUAUCCAUCAAUGUACAUAUGACUGAAAAGAAAGAGAGGAUCAGAGUGACCAGGGAAGGAAACAUAAGUGACAUCAGAGGUAAAAGCCCUAAAGUACCCACCUCAUCCUCCACCUCUGCAGAAGCACAAGUUGAACAGCUUUCUGACAAAUUAAAACUUCAACAAAGUACAAAAACCACUGAGUUAAAUCAAGAAGUUGAAGGGGACAGUAAGCAAAAUGACCUUGUACCUCAAACAGGGAAGCAACAGCCAUUACUGAGCAAACCCAAAUCAUCUAAAAAGGAUGAAGAGAAAUCAGAAUUAAAAUGCAAGCCCACAAUCUCGAAGAAUGCUUUGGCAAAGGAACCUGCAAAAGACGUGGGGGUAAAAGUGAAAAUCCAUCAAGAAGCAGACAAAGCAAAAGAAUCUGUGGCAGAUACUAGCUCUGAGAGGAGAGAAUCUGAGUCUGCAUCUCCAGGAGGAAGUGAAAAUUGCAUUCACCAGUGUACAGGAAUGGCACCAGAGGAGACAAAGCCAUUGGGAGCUAGUGAAAAACUUCUCACACAGGAUGAGAUAAUCAUUGAUGACAGCCCUUCUCCUCCAGCGCCUUUUGAGCAUCGCAUAGUGAGCGUCAAGCCAACAGAGGUGACAACGUGCUACUCAGUGUGUCGUCAUGAGGUACUGGGAGGGGGGCGUUUUGGACAAGUCCAUAAGUGCACGGAAAUCUCAACUGGUCUCAACCUGGCAGCCAAGAUCAUAAAAGUGAAAGGAGCAAAAGAAAGGGAGGAAGUGAAAAACGAAAUUAAUGUCAUGAACCAAUUAAAUCAUGUGAAUCUGAUCCAGCUUUAUGAUGCUUUUGAAGCCAAAAACAAUAUCACUUUGAUCAUGGAAUACCUUGAUGGUGGUGAAUUGUUUGACCGGAUCACAGAUGAAAGCUGCAAUCUAACAGAGUUGGAUGCGAUCCUUUUUACCAAACAGAUUUGUGAAGGAGUCCAGUACUUACACCAGCAUUAUAUUCUCCAUUUAGAUCUGAAGCCUGAAAAUAUACUCUGUGUGAAUCGCACAGGAAACCAGAUUAAAAUCAUCGACUUUGGAUUAGCAAGGAGGUACAAACCUCGUGAGAAACUGAAGGUUAACUUUGGAACUCCAGAGUUCUUGGCUCCUGAAGUGGUGAACUAUGACUUUGUUUCCUACCCAACGGACAUGUGGAGUGUAGGCGUCAUCACGUAUAUGCUGCUUAGUGGCUUGUCCCCAUUCCUGGGAGAAACUGAUGCUGAAACAAUGAAUUAUGUAGUCAAUUGCACAUGGGACUUUGAUGCAGAAGCAUUUGAACAGCUAUCCGAGGAAGCCAAGGACUUUAUUUCCAGACUACUUGUGAAGGAGAAAAGCUGCCGGAUGAGUGCAACACAGUGUCUGAAGCAUGAGUGGUUAAGCAAUCUGCCUGCCAAAGCCAUGAAGUCGAAGUUUCGCCUUAAGUCCCAGUUGCUGCUGCAGAGGUACAUGGCUCACAGAAAAUGGAAGAAACAUUUUCACGUGGUGGCUGCUGCCAACAGGCUGAAGAGAUUUCAGAGUGUGUCUGCGAAGCUUGCAUAAGCUUUUAUGAAGCAUCUGCUACUCUUGUUUUAUAAGAUUUUUGGAUCUGUCCUCCUCAAAUGUUAUGUGUGUUAGUGCUAAGGUUCCAGAAGGGCCUUGAGGAAGAAGCACUAAAAUGUUUUCUAGAAGCAGAAACUACCUUGUUGGCUUUUACAAGUUUCAGUUGUUGCACAUAGUGAUGGGAAAAUAACAUAUAUUUGGGGCUGACUUCUUGCUGAAGGCUUUGAUUCUGCAGAGUAUUGUUGGUGUGUUUGCUCCAGAAAGCACCUUAUCCCUUUGCUGUUUUCUCACACUAAGCAUGAGAUCUCUGGACUUCAUUCAUGACUGACAUAUGUGAUUAAAUUUAGGGCGCUGACACAACAGUAGCACAAUUUUUUCCUUGGGUGUUUGUUAGUUAGAACAAAAGAUACAGGAUAUUAUUUUCUUGUGUAAUUAAUAAAAAGUCUGCCAAACGUGGUGGUGAUGACUCAGUACAACUCUGAGUUGAAUGGUUUUGGUUUGUUUUAUUCUAGUCUUGUUUCCUAACUGUCAGUGGAUGUUUUUUAAAUAAGAGGAAUCCUAGUUUGAAGCAACCUGAGUCAGUCCAUUGCUGCUUUUUCUUACGUUGAGCUGAAUUGAGCUUAAUCAGCUGAACUUUUUCAAUUUCCAUAGGUGAAACUGCCACAAAUGAAAAUGGUUUAAUGACCCUUGGGUCACUACAAAAAGAUGACAUGUUUUCCAAAAAAGACAUUUCCAGACAUUGUUUUGGAUGUAUAUAAAACUUAUGCUGCAAAAUGCAAUGUGAGCUGGAUGGGGGUCCUAAGAAAACCAGAAACUAACACUACUAAAACUA